CUGGUCUAUAUAGCUCAGGAGUACAACUUGGAUCUUAUCAGGGUGAUACUGGGGUAGUAGCGUGGCAGAAAUGAAUACACUUGUCUACCUGCUAAAUUCCCGUCCAGUUUCCAAGUUCAAAUUAAGAUGCCUGAAGUCUUCCCUGGAUCCUCAUGGAGAGAAGGUGCUUAGGAAGUUCUGCAGAUGCUUGACCCUAUGUGUGGCAACUUAAGUGAACCUGGUGACAAGGUGAGAAGAGGAAACACAGAUGCGACCCUCAAGGGGUAACUACCCCUCUGUCUCCCUCUCUAUCCCCUCAAUGACGGUUAAGAUGUUCCCCAAGGAUGCCGUACCAUCUGCCCUGCUUCUCCCAAGGACCGCUUCAUGGGCUGCUUGCUUGUGGCUUUUCUGGGAACCAACAGCAGCACUUGCAGGCUUGGCCGGGACUUAAUGACUGCGGAAGCUUGAGAAUCAG